rnacentral:misc_RNA from 1 species
UCCCCGUUGUUCGGGGCUGUCGGUCGUGAAUCGUAACAGGACACAGGGGUUGCGCUCGUUGCGGGACUUAACCCAACAUCUCAAGACACGAGCUGACGACAGCCAUGCAGCACCUGUGCAAGCUGGUAUUGCUACCUCGUCCCUCUUUCAAGGUUCCACUACUCGCAUGUCAAGGCCAGGUAAGGUUCUUCGCGUUGCAUCGAAUUAAGCCACAUACUCCACCGCUUGUGCAGGCCCCCGUCAAUUUCUUUGAGUUUCAACCUUGCGGUCGUACUUCCCAGGUGGGAUACUUAAUGCUUUCGCUCAGACACACACUGUGUAUCGCGUAUGUCGAGUAUCCAUCGUUUAGGGCGUGGACUAC